AGUGAACGCUGGCGGUAGGCCUAACACAUGCGAGUCGAACGGCAGCACAGUAAGAGCUUGCUCUUACGGGUGGCGAGUGGCGGACGGGUGAGGAAUACAUCGGAAUCUACUUUUUCGUGGGGGAUAACGUAGGGAAACUUACGCUAAUACCGCAUACGACCUACGGGUGAAAGCAGGGGAUCUUCGGACCUUGCGCGAUUGAAUGAGCCGAUGUCGGAUUAGCUAGUUGGCGGGGUAAAGGCCCACCAAGGCGACGAUCCGUAGCUGGUCUGAGAGGAUGAGGGGGGGGACGGGAGGGGAGGCGGGGUGCGGGGGGGGGCGGGAGGGAGCAGUGGGGAAUAUUGGACAAUGGGCGCAAGCCUGAUCCAGCCAUACCGCGUGGGUGAAGAAGGCCUUCGGGUUGUAAAGCCCUUUUGUUGGGAAAGAAAAGCAGCAGGUUAAUACCCCGCUGUUCUGACGGUACCCAAAGAAUAAGCACCGGCUAACUUCGUG
rnacentral:rRNA from 1 species